rnacentral:rRNA from 1 species
GUGCCUAACACAUGCAAGUCGAACGAGAAAGUGGAGCAAUCCAUGAGUACAGUGGCGACCGGGUGAGUAACACGUGACUACCUGCCUCCGAGUGGGGAAUAACUCCGGGAAACCGGGGCUAAUACCGCAUAACAUCGCAAGAUCAAAGCAGCAAUGCGCUUGGAGAGGGGGUCGCGGCUGAUUAGCUAGUUGGUAAGGUAACGGCUUACCAAGGCGAAGAUCGGUAUCCGGCCUGAGAGGGCGCACGGACACACUGGAACUGAAACACGGUCCAGA